UUUUUUAAUUGAAAACUUGUAUGAAUGGUUGAAUGAGAUAUUGGCUGUUUCACAAAAAUUUGAAUAAAAUUUAAUUUUUAAGUUAAAAAGCUUAAAUAAAUUUAUAGGACGAGAAGACCCUAUAAAGUUUAAUAAUUUAAUAAAAUUAAUUUUUUUAGUAUAUUUUAAAUUUUAUUUGUUAAAUUAUUUUAUUGGGGUGAUAAUAAAAUUUAAAAAACUUUUAUUUAUAUUUUACAUGAAUUAAUGAUUAUAUGAUCCAAUUUUAUUGAUUAAAAAAUUAAAUUACUUUAGGGAUAACAGCAUA
rnacentral:rRNA from 1 species